UUUAAUGGCCGCAGUAAUUAUCAAUAGUUUUUUAAUUGAAAGCUUGUAUGAAAGGUUGGACGAGAUAAAUUCUGUCUCUUUAAAAUUUUAUAAGAAUUUAAUUUUUAAGUUAAAAAGCUUAAAUAUUAAUAAAAGACGAGAAGACCCUAUAGAGUUUUAUAUUUUUAUUAUUAAGAUUAAUUUAGAUUAUUUAUUUUUUUAUUAUAUAUAAUAUUUUAUUGGGGUAAUAGAAAGAUUAAAUUAAUUCUUUUUUUUUAUUUAUAUUUAUUUAUAUUUUAUUGAUCCAGUUUUAUUGAUUAUAAGAUUAAAUUACCUUAGGGAUAACAGCGUAAUUUUUUUAGAGAGUUCAUAUUGAUAAAAAAGUUUGCGACCUCGAUGUUGGAUUAAAGAUUAGUUUAGGUGCAAAAGUUUAAAUUUUUGGUCUGUUCGACCAUUAAAUCUUUACAUGAUCUGAGUUCAGACCGGUGUGAGCCAGGUCGGUUUCUAUCUUUAUUAAAUUAAAAUAUUUUAGUACGAAAGGAUCAAAUAUUUAUUAUAUUAAUUUAUUUUUGAAUAAUAUUAUUAUUUUGGCAGAUUAGUGCAAUGAGUUUAGAAUUCAUUUAUGUAAUAAAAUUACAGAUAAUACUUGUUUUUUUUAGAUUAUUUUUUUAUAAUUAUUAGAAUUUUAUUAUUAGUUAUUUGUGUGUUAGUUGGAGUAGCUUUUUUAACUUUAUUAGAACGAAA
rnacentral:rRNA from 1 species